rnacentral:rRNA from 1 species
AUGCAUAGGAAUCUACCUAGUAGUAUGGGAUAGCCACUGGAAAUGGUGGGUAAUACCGUAUAAUCCCCGCGGGGGAAAGAUUUAUCGCUAUUAGAUGAGCCUAUGUCGGAUUAGCUAGUUGGUGGGGUAAUGGCCUACCAAGGCAGUGAUCUGUAGCUGGUCUGAGAGGAUGAUCAGCCACACUGGAACUGAGACACGGUCCAGACUCCUACGGGAGGCAGCAGUGGGGAAUAUUGGACAAUGGGCGCAAGCCUGAUCCAGCUAUGCCGCGUGAGUGAGGAAGGCCUUAGGGUUGUAAAACUCUUUCAGUAGGGAAGAUAAUGACGGUACCUA